rnacentral:rRNA from 1 species
AUUGAACGCUGGCGGCAGGCCUAACACAUGCAAGUCGAACGAGUGGCGGACGGGUGAGAAAUGUCUGGGGAACUGCCCGAUGGAGGGGGAUAACUACUGGAAACGGUAGCUAAUACCUCAUACCAUCGGAUGUUCACAGAUGGGAUUAUCUAGUAGGUGGGGGAAGGGCUAACCUAGGCGACGAGCCCUAGCUGGUCUGAGAGGAUUACCAGCCAACAUUGAACUGAGACACGGUCCAGACUCCUCAGGGAGGCAGCAGUGGGGAAUAUGGCACAAUGGGCGCAUGCCUGAUGAAGCCAGGCCGCGUGUAGGAAGAAGGCCUUCGGGUUGUAAAGGACUUUCAGCGAGGAGGCGUUACUCGCAGAAGAAGCACCGGCUAACUCCGUGCCAGCAGCCGCGGUAAUAC